rnacentral:rRNA from 1 species
AUUGAACGCUGGCGGCAGGCUUAACACAUGCAAGUCGAACGAGUGGCGGACGGGUGAGUAAUGCUUGGGAAUCUAGCUUAUGUAGGGGGAUAACUACUGGAACCGGUAGCUAAUACCGCAUACCAUCAGAUGAACCCAUAGGGGAUUAGCUGGUAGGUAAGGUAACGGCUUACCUAGGCGACGAUGCCUAGCUGGUCUGAGAGGAUGAUCAGCCACACUGGGACUGAGACACGGCCCAGACUCCUACGGGAGGCAGCAGUAGGGAAUAUUGGACAAUGGGCGCAAGUCUGACGGAGCAAUGCCGCGUGUAUGAAGAAGGCCUUAGGGUUGUAAAGUACUUUUAGUGGGGAGGCGGUACCUAAAGAAAAAGCAACGGCUAACUACGUGCCAGCAGCCGCGGUAAUAC